rnacentral:lncRNA from 1 species
GACUUGUUUUUCCACGCUGAUUUCCACUGUGGCCAAAUCAGAGCUAAAAUCCCGGCCAAAUGGCCGAAAUCCAGCGGCGCCGCGCCCAUCCUCGAUUUUUGCCUCCGAUGAGGCCCUUUUCAGCCUCCGUUUGAUGCAAUUUUUAUAUCACCGUGAUCACCAUUCUUUUCUCUACAGGUUGAUCGGAGCCGAAUCACCAAAACACGAACCUCACCGGAGAGCCGCCGCACCCGAGAGCACCGCCGCCGGUAAGCUUCGAUUUUCCGUAAUUUUUUGGCCCCCCGAGGGCCCUAGGGUUGUUUUAUCGCAAGGACC